rnacentral:lncRNA from 1 species
GGUGGUGGCGAACGGCAGCGUCAGCGGCAGCCCCAGUAGCGCCGCCGCCGCCAGUGGUGUGCCGGUGGUGGAUUCCGGCACCUUUGCCCAUAUCACGCCGCUGCGUCAGCUGCUUCACAACUUCACGCCCCGCUCGAGGGUGAGGCAAGUGCUGUGGGGGGAUGGCCACAGCAGCCCGGUCGGGGGAUCGGGCACUCUCCGGAUGCUCUCCGGGCGGCAGCGUGUUGAUGUGACGGGUGUGCUGUAUGUGCCAGCCGCCCAGCUCUCCCUGCUAUCUGUGCGCCGGCUGACGGCCAGCGGCGUGAAGGUAGUGUUCGAGGGGGAGACAGUGACCUUAGCGCAGGGUGGCCGCAACCUCCUCAGCGGCCGCCUGCGCGAUGGUCUGUUCCCGCUGUCUGUUACCAUGCUGCCCGUCGCGCUGGCGGCGCCCGCCGUGGCGCCGCCGGCUGCCGGCGGCGGCCCCGCCGCGCCUCCGGGCGGCGGCGGUGGUGCCGCCGCCAACGGCAGUAACACCGGUGUACACCCCAAUCCCGCCGCCGCGCUUUCGGGCCGCGGCGGCACCACCAGCAGCAGCAGCCUCAGCGGCUCCGGCACUAUGAGCAGUAGCAGCAGCAUUGGUGCGGCCGCGCCUUCGGGCGGCGGCGGCGCCAGCAGCAGCACCAGCUCGCCGGCGGCUUCUCUGGGCGCUGCGCUCCGUCUGCACCGCCGGUUCGGCCAUCUCGGCUGGACUGCGCUGAUGCAGAUGGUGGGUGGGUCCCUUGUCACCGGCCUGGAUGUUGAUCUGUGCGCACUUAGCCAGGCAGCCGGGUCGGUGUGCAGCACCUGCAUUGAGGCCAAGGCGGCCUCUCUGCCCUUCCCGAAUAGCAGUAGCGAGCCGCCACAGCCUCUGGCUCUGGCGCACUCUGACGUGUGCGGCCCCAUGCCCACCGUGGGCCGUGGUGGCGCACGCUACUUCACCACGCUGCUUGACGCCGCCACCGGCCUAUCAGCUGUUCGGUUGCUGCCCACCAGGGACCACGCUGGUGUAGCGCUGCAGGAGAUGAUUGCGCAGUUCGAGAGUCACUGCCGCGAUGGCGGCAAGCUGCGCAUCCUCCGCAGCGACAACGGCGGCGAGUACCACGCUGAGCAGCUGGAGCAGUGGCUGCGUGAGCGCAGCACCGCGCACCAGUUCAGCGCGCCGUACACGCCGCAGCAGAACGGUGUGGCCGAGCGGCUCAACCGCACCCUGAUGGAGCGCACUCGCGCCCUGCUGUUUGAGGCUGUGCUCCCCCCCAGCUUCUGGCCUGAAGCUGUGGUGCAUGCCUGCCAUGUGCGCAACUUAAGUCCCUCCACCAGCUGCAGCAGCACGCCGUGGGAGGCCUUCACCGGCAACAAGCCUAACGUUGCCGACCUGCGCAUCUUCGGCUGCCGCGUCUAUGUCACCAAACCCGCCGACAGCCGCUCCAAGCUCAGCCCGCAUGCCGACAUCGGCACGUACCUGGGCCUGCAGCGCAGCUCCGCCGCAUCUCGCGUGCUGGUCGGCGGCAAAGUGGUGGUGAGCCGGGACAUAGAGUUCGAUGAGGAUGUACGGGGUCCGGCGUCGCGGCUGGCGGGCACACCGUUCGGGGUAACGGCGGAUGCGAGUGGUGGUGGUGGUGGCAGUAGCAGUGCUGCAACGCCCUCGGCCGGCGCUGACCCGGCGCCUCCCCAGGCGCCGGCGGCGCCGGCCAACGGCACACCUCCCCCCACUACGCUGCCGGCGCCUCCCCAGGCGCCGGCAGCCGGGCCCUCACGGCCCGCCACCCGCAGUCAACGCCCCUCACUAACGCCGGCCCUCGGCGCCGUCAGUGAGCCUCCGCUGUCAACUGCCGCAUCCGCGGCGGCGGGCGGCGGGGGUGGCAGCAGUAGCAGCGCCGCCUCGGCUGCAGCAGCGGCCGCUCAGCUGUUUGAUAGCGACAGCGACGACGAGACGCCGGCGCUGGCGCCAGCCUCAGAUGAUGAGGACAGCUACAGCAGCAGCGCUGCGAUGACUGCGGCUGCGGACACCGGCGACCCCCGCAGCUAUUCGGAGGCCACUAACGGACCACAAGCUGCGGAGUGGCGCGCCGCUAUGGAGGAGGAGAUGAAGGCUCAACGCGCACACGGCACCUGGCAGCUAGCGGAGCCGCCCCCAGGCGCGCGUCUGCUGGCCAAUCGCUGGGUCUUCAAGACCAAUGUUGGUGAGUUGGGGGCUCGCGGUGCUAGUGGCCCGCGAGGGGAGGCAGCCCAACCCUAGGGUGCAGCCGUGUGGCGGUUUGCCGGAUGGGUCAGACUGCCAGGUACGAGGUUGCGAGGGGCUGCCGCCCGUCUGUGUGGCGCGCUUCCGAGCGCUUGCUUUGUUAACCACACGCGCCAUAAGUCUUCCCCCACUACCGGUGCCAGACAGCAUAGCUGUAUCGCGUGUGAAGCACCCGCAGCCAGCAACAGCGUCAGCCGAGCCAAAAUCCUCAGCAGGUUAUGAGCCCCGCGCCGCGAUAACCCGCGCGCGGUCGGCCGCUUAGCUAGCUAGGUAGUAUGGGGGACUAUAGUGGAGUAAUGUUGUUAGAGGACGCGUCAAACUACUUUGCGUGGCGUCGCAGCCUGUUGGACCACCUGAACUCCCGGCGUGUGCCUCUCGGAGAAUAUCUCUUCGCCUACGCUCCGAUGACGCCUCGCACGGCGCGCGAGCUGGCUGAUGAGAGUGCUGCAGCCGCCAGUUUGCUGCGCAUGUCCUGCAGUGAGGGCGUUGCGCAGCAACUCGCACUCGCUCAGCACGCCUACGAGGCGCACGCCUACGUCAUCCAGCUGUUCCGCCAGUCAGCGCCGCUGAAACUGGCGCAGUUCGAGUCAGCGAUGAGUUCUGCCUGCGAGAGGGCGAGACCAUUGCCUCUUACUUCCUGCGCGCCAGUGACCUGCGGGACCGCAUCGGCGCGGUCGGCGGCUCGUGGACCGACCAGCAGGUGCGACUCAAGCUGCUGGCCGGUCUGCCCAAGCCGCGCUGGGAGAACAUCUGCGACAUCUGCUACGCCUCUCCAGGCCAGACCCUGCAGCAGCUUUGCGGUUAUUUAAUGCAGCAGGAGUUCAUUAAGAACCAGGAGCAGGCGCGCAGCGGGCACGUCGGCGCCGUCAACCGCAGCGGCGGCCGCGCCGGUGCCGCCGGCAGUGCCGGCGGCGGCCAAGGCGGCGGCGCCGCCAGCAGCAGCGCCAUUAUCUGCCACUACUGCGAGCAGCCUGCUGGCCACAUUCGGUCCCACUGCCGCGUGCGCCUGGCCGAUGUUGCGGCCGGCAUCUUCCGCGCUGACAUCCGCUCGCCGCCCCAGCUGAAGCAGUCCGGCGGCGGCGGUGGUGGCGGCGGUGGAGGCGGCAGUGGUGGCGGUGGUGGCGGCGGUGCCGGCGGCCCCAAAGGUGGCGACAGCGGAGGAGGUAAGAAGCGCGGUGGGCGGAGCGGCGGGAGCAGGGGUGCCUCGGGUGGCGCCGGCACUGCCGUCUCCAAGACUGCGCACGUGCUGGUUGUGCGGGGUGUUGAGGACUGGGCCGUGCCUGACGCCGGCAGCAGUCUAAUCGUCCGCACCUAUGGCGCCGAGUCGGCUGGCUCGGGCGUCAGCAGUGGCUACGGCACGGCCGACGGCGGCAUGCCCAGCUCCGGCGUGGUGGAGGGCCACGCCGGUGGCAGUAGCACCAGCACUUACUGCUACAGCGCGGCCGUCAGCGGCUCUCGCAGCAGUAGCACCAUCGGCAGCGCCCCGCCUCCCCUGGGCGGUGGCUGCAGCCUGAUCAACAUGGUCCGCGCGGCGUUCCGGCGCCUUCGCAGCGGACCCAACAGCAGCAGCGCAGGAGCAGGAGUCUCCAGCAGCAGCAGCGGCAGUGCCGGGCUUGCGAGUUCCGGCGGCCGCUCGAGUGUCGUCUGCAAUAGCGGAGACACCGUGCUGUAUCCCUCCAGCAGCAGCAGCGUCGGGGUGGUGGCGAACGGCAGCGUCAGCGGCAGCCCCAGUAGCGCCGCCGCCGCCAGUGGUGUGCCGGUGGUGGAUUCCGGCACCUUUGCCCAUAUCACGCCGCUGCGUCAGCUGCUUCACAACUUCACGCCCCGCUCGAGGGUGAGGCAAGUGCUGUGGGGGGAUGGCCACAGCAGCCCGGUCGGGGGAUCGGGCACUCUCCGGAUGCUCUCCGGGCGGCAGCG